rnacentral:rRNA from 1 species
UACGUAGGUGGCGAGCGUUAUCCGGAUUUAUUGGGUUUAAAGGGUGCGUAGGCGGCUGAUUAAGUCAGCGGUGAAAGGUAGCAGCUUAACUGUUUUACAUGCCGUUGAUACUGGUUAGCUUGAGUUAACAGAAGGCAGAUAGAAUUUCUGGUGUAGCGGUGAAAUGCUUAGAUACCAGGAGGAAUACCGAUUGCGAAGGCAGUCUGCUGCAGUUACACUGACGCUGAGGCACGAAAGUGCGGGGAUCAAACAGG